AUGAUAGUUGCUGCUACUAUGGCAUUGCACAACUAUCUUCGCUUCCAUGACAAAUCAGAUCUCCACUUUGUUCGAUGUGAUAGGGAUCCGGAUUAUGUGCCAACAAUUCCUGAACGGUAUAGGAAAUUUGCUGUUCCGACAAAUGCUUCAGAUACAUCUACUUCGGAGGAAAAUGGUGUUGACAUGGAUCUGUUUAGGAACCAACUUGCUACUGACAUUGCUCUAGGUUGGUGA
rnacentral:rRNA from 1 species